rnacentral:antisense_RNA from 1 species
GGAUUUACUAGGAAGGUGGGACGUUGGAGGGGCGGCCGCAUGGAGUAAGUACUGUCUCUGGCCACCCAGCAGAGCCAGUGACAGUAGCGUCAUGGUAGGCAGGCAGGCGUAUCAGGUUUCAGAGGAUGCGGCUGGGAACGGGAGUAGAGGUAUAUGAGCUCCCUGAAAGCACAAAGCAGUUAUUUCAAUCUUCAGAUCAUUCAGAGAUUAUGAAGGCACAAACCCUGCCUUCAAUUUGCUUAUAGUCAAGUGGAGCAGACACAAGUCAAUGAUGGCAGUAUAGCCACUUAAGUAAUCUAAAAGAGGUGAGUCUGGCACUUAACCUUUCCUGGGAGGGGGAGGAAUAAGGCAGUGUUUCCAAGAGGUGAUUUUGGAGCUAUACAGGCAUUAGGUAGACAAGGAAGGGGAGGUCCAUUCUGGGUGCCUAGGACUCUGUGGCUGAUUUAUAAAUUCUAAAUGGUACAAAAAACAGUGUUGAGUAUCUUUUACCUUUCUCCAGAGUACUGUUCUUGCUUUUGGAUAGUGCUUCUUGUUUUUUCCUUCCCUCUCCCUGUCCCU